rnacentral:rRNA from 1 species
UGCGCAGGCGGCUUACUAAGUCAGUGGUGAAAUCUUGCGGCUUAACCGUAAAAUUGCCAUUGAUACUGGUAAGCUUGAAUUCAGUUGAGGUUGGCGGAAUGUGUAAUGUAGCGGUGAAAUGCUUAGAUAUUACACAGAACACCGAUUGCGAAGGCAGCUAGCUAAACUGACAUUGACGCUGAGGCACGAAAGCGUGGGGAGCGAACAGGAUUAGAUACCCUGGUAGUCC